rnacentral:snRNA from 1 species
AUACUUAACUGGACGGGGUCAACGGGGGAUCAAGAAGGCCCAUCUUCUAGUUUGGCGACCGCCAUUGCACUGAAAGGAGGGGUUUCAGUCUAACAUAUCCCCAAAUGGGAGAGUGUACGUCAUAAUUUGCUAUAUUGGCGGUACGCGUUCGCGCGUCCCCUAA